UACGUAGGGGGCAAGCGUUGUCCGGAAUCAUUGGGCGUAAAGCGCGUGUAGGCGGUUCGGUAAGUCGGCUGUGAAAGUCCAGGGCUCAACCCUGGGAUGCCGGUCGAUACUGCCGGACUAGAGUUCGGAAGAGGCGAGUGGAAUUCCCGGUGUAGCGGUGAAAUGCGCAGAUAUCGGGAGGAACACCAAUGGCGAAGGCAGCUCGCUGGGACGUUACUGACGCUGAGACGCGAAAGCGUGGGGAGCGAACGGG
rnacentral:rRNA from 1 species